rnacentral:sRNA from 1 species
CCAGUGUUGUAUAACGUGUAAAAUGGCCGGGUCGGGACAUAUGCUUACUUCCCGGGAUUAGCAAGGCAGCUAGAGGAUGACUCUAUAAGGAGAGUGGAGAAACUGGCCAGUUAAUGUGUCUGC